rnacentral:rRNA from 1 species
GGGUCAGUAGGUUGGUCGUGCCACCGGUACGUACUGGUCUCACUGAUUCCUCCUUCCUGAAGAACCGUAAUGCCAUUAAUUUGGUGUUGCAGGGAAACAGGACUGUUACUUUGAAAAAAUUAGAGUGUUUAAAGCAAGCUAACGCUUGAAUACAUUUGCAUGGAAUAAUGAAAUAGGACGAUCGAUCCUAUUUUGUUGGUUUCUAGGAUUGACGUA